UACAGAGGUCCCGAGCGUUGUUCGGAUUCACUGGGCGUAAAGGGUGCGUAGGUGGUGGGGUAAGUCGGAUGUGAAAUCUCGGAGCUCAACUCCGAAAUGGCAUUGGAAACUACCCUGCUGGAGGUUUGGAGGGGGGACUGGAAUACUUGGUGUAGCAGUGAAAUGCGUAGAUAUCAAGUGGAACACCAGUGGCGAAGGCGAGUCCCUGGACAAAACCUGACACUGAGGCACGAAAGCCAGGGGAGCGAACGGG
rnacentral:rRNA from 1 species